AAACUCCGCAAUGCGCGAAAGCGUGACGGGGGAACCCCAAGUGCCGUUGGUCUUUUGAUCGACGGCUUUUCGAGAGUCUAAGACGCUCUUGGAAUAAGGGCUGGGCAAGUCGGGUGC
rnacentral:rRNA from 1 species